rnacentral:rRNA from 1 species
AGCGAACGCUGGCGGCAGGCCUAACACAUGCAAGUCGAUCGAACUCUUCGGAGUUAGUGGCGGACGGGUGAGUAACACGUGGGAACGUGCCUUUAGGUUCGGAAUAACUCAGGGAAACUUGUGCUAAUACCGAAUGUGCCCUUCGGGGGAAAGAUUUAUCGCCUUUAGAGCGGCCCGCGUCUUAUUAGCUAGUUGGUGAGGUAAAGGCUCACCAAGGCGACGAUCAGUAGCUGGUCUGAGAGGAUGAUCAGCCACAUUGGGACUGAGACACGGCCCAAACUCCUACGGGAGGCAGCAGUGGGGAAUCUUGCGCAAUGGGCGAAAGCAUGACGCAGCCAUGCCGGGUGAAUGAUGAAGGUCUUAGGAUUGUAAAAUUCUUUCACCGGGGACGAUAAUGACGGUACCCGGAGAAGAAGCCCCGGCUAACUUCGUG